rnacentral:lncRNA from 1 species
GAAGAUGAUGAAGAUGAAGUAUUGGAGGAAUAUUUUGAUGAUAUAUGAAGAAUACAUUUUGAUGAUGAUCUUUUGAAUUUUAAGUUUGAAUUUUCAUAUAAUAGUUCUAAGUUUGAAUUUUAAGAUGUGAUGUUGUGAAUCUUCUACUAUAUGUUAGAAUUUUUAGAUUUUAAGUUUGAAUUUUCAUUAAGUAUAUGACAUAUGUUUUAUAAAUUAUUAUAUAAUUAUAUGUACAAAAACUUAUCCCGCU